rnacentral:rRNA from 1 species
UACGAAGGGGGCUAGCGCUGCUCGGAAUCACUGGGCGUAAAGCGCACGUAGGCGGCUUUCUAAGUCAGGGGUGAAAUCCUGGAGCUCAACUCCAGAACUGCCUUUGAUACUGAAGAUCUUGAGUUCGGGAGAGGUGAGUGGAACUGCGAGUGUAGAGGUGAAAUUCGUAGAUAUUCGCAAGAACACCAGUGGCGAAGGCGGCUCACUGGCCCGAUACUGACGCUGAGGCACGAAAGCGUGGGGAGCAAACAGG